rnacentral:rRNA from 1 species
GAUGAACGCUAGCGACAGGCUUAACACAUGCAAGUCGAGGGGCAGCACGGGAGUAGCAAUACAACUGGUGGCGACCGGCGCACGGGUGAGUAACGCGUAUGCAACCUACCUAUCAGAGGGGAAUAACCCGGCGAAAGUCGGACUAAUACCGCAUAACACAGGGGCACCGCAUGGUGAUAUUUGUUAAAGAAAUUCGCUGAUAGAUGGGCAUGCGUUCCAUUAGGUAGUUGGUGAGGUAACGGCUCACCAAGCCGACGAUGGAUAGGGGAACUGAGAGGUUGGUCCUCCACACUGGUACUGAGACACGGACCAGACUCCUACGGGAGGCAGCAGUGAGGAAUAUUGGUCAAUGGGCGAGAGCCUGAACCAGCCAAGUCGCGUGAAGGAAGAAGGAUCUAUGGUUCGUAAACUUCUUUUGCAGGGGAAUAAAGUGCAGGACGUGUCCUGUUUUGUAUGUACCCUGAGAAUAAGGAUCGGCUAACUCCGUGCCAGCCGCCGCGGUAAAAC